AAAAAGAGGAAUUAUACAUCAACUGUUUGGCUUCUGACCCAUACGGCGACGCCCUGUUUCAACCACAACAAUGGCGUCUCUCACCCCUGGCAUCCUCUCCAAACUUCUUCAAAAUCUCAACAACACUGUCGCCGGAGGGUAUUGAGAAGAAAGUGGGUGUAAAAGAAAAGAUUGAGGGUUCAAAGAGUCUUUAAUCUUCGGAGCCAUUGAUUAGCCCCCAAUCACAUUGUGGAUAGAAUACAAAACCUGAUUUGGGGGUUUUUGAGAAGGUCUCUAUAAAAAAAAAGAAGAUUUUAUGGAUGGGUUUAUUGAGUUUAAUAUCGUGAAGAGAUAGGUUACGAUAGGUUAGAGAGAGAACGUCCUCCUUCGUUGCAGAAGUAGCAAUCUUCGAGAGUCACAGCAACAAUGGCCGCAAUGGUUGCUUUUCGGAGCUCCUUCACUUCUUUUUCUCUCCUCAAAUUCCUUCUUGGGCCAAUGCAUCUAUAGUUCAAUGUCUUCUCUCAUUGUCUCUGUUUUGUUUCGCGUUUUUUGAUUUUGGGGCGAAACAUCUCGAAAUCGCCAUAUACAUUUCAAAUUUAAGCUGUUUCAUUUCAUUAUCUCAUCUUUGAAGUCUGGAAGAUCUUCAUAUCUGAUGGAUGUUAUUGUGGGUCUACUUUAUCCUGUAAUUUCUUUGCAGGUACAUGAUCUCCUCAAAUAUAGGUGAGGUUGCCUCAAUAUUUUUAAUAGCGGCAUUAGAGGUCCCCAGAAGGCCUAAUCCCUGUCCAACCCUUGUGGGUCAACCUUGUCACAAAUGGACCUCCUGCGACAACCCUUGGAUUCAAUCCACCAAAUAAGGACAUCAUGAAGAAACCCCCUCGUCGAAGUGAUGACCUGCUCAUCAAUCCUUGGACUUUAUUCUACUAUCUGGUAAAAAGUUUGGAAAAGAGGUAACUUCAUUAGAGACAAGAAAUGCAACAAGGUUAGUUGCUCCAACUAUUGCUGCGGGUUUAGGUGCCUUAACACAUACAUUGGGCACCCUCGUCCUUGUGAUAGCAGAAAGUGGAUUUGCUACAGCGACAACUGCAACUGCAACUGCUACUGCUAUAAGAACUAUUGUUGGUAGUUUUAGAUAAUCUAUUAGUAAUUGUCAAUAUGUUUAGAAAGUUAGAUAUGCAUAGUUUUGGAUGGUUUAUACUUCUUGUACAAUUUAGAACUUAAAGAUAUAGUUUUCGAAUAUUUGGAAUGUAUAAACAAUUGUUGACUGCUUAUAAUUUAUGGAUAUAGUUUCUUUUUGAUGUUUC